rnacentral:rRNA from 1 species
UACGAAGGGGGCUAGCGUUAUUCGGAUUCACUGGGCGUAAAGCGUGCGCAGGCGGUUCGUUGUGUCGGUGGUGAAAUCCCCGGGCUUAACCUGGGAACUGCGCUUGUUACUGGCAAGCUAGAGUGUGGCAGAGGGGGGUGGAAUUCCAGGUGUAGCAGUGAAAUGCGUAGAGAUCUGGAGGAACACCGAUGGCGAAGGCAGCCCCCUGGGCUAACACUGACGCUCAUGCACGAAAGCGUGGGGAGCAAACAGG